rnacentral:tRNA from 1 species
UUGAUAAAAACCAAAAUAGAGGUAUUUUAUUGUUAAUAAAAAUAAUGAAUCAAAUUCUUA